GACGAAGGGGGCUAGCGUUGCUCGGAAUCACUGGGCGUAAAGCGCACGUAGGCGGAUCUUUAAGUCAGGGGUGAAAUCCCAAGGCUCAACCUUGGAACUGCCUUUGAUACUGGGGAUCUCGAGUCCGGAAGAGGUUGGUGGAACUGCGAGUGUAGAGGUGAAAUUCGUAGAUAUUCGCAAGAACACCAGUGGCGAAGGCGGCCAACUGGUCCGGUACUGACGCUGAGGUGCGAAAGCGUGGGGAGCAAACAGG
rnacentral:rRNA from 1 species